rfam:Stegodyphus mimosarum contig77535, whole genome shotgun sequence.
ACCUUUAUGGUGUAACGGUUAGCACACUCGGCUCGUAUUCGAGAGGUCCAGGUUCGAGUCCCUGCGAGAGCA